GUGUCUUUGGUCUUAGAAUGUUGAGGAUUGUGCCAGAUAAAUUAUAUGCAUUGUCUUAACUAAUCCUCACUGUGAUUCUCUAAAGUAGGUGGUAGAGUAGGAUGAUUAAAAGCAGGGAUCCUGGGCCAAGUACCGGGAUUCAAAUUCCAGCUUCUCCAUACACAAACUGUAAGGUUUUGAGAAAAUCACUUAAUAUCUUGGGCCUCAGCUUUCCUUUCUAUAAAAUAGAGUGAUAAUUGUAUCUCUUCAUAGGGUUAUGGGAGGAGUGAGUGAAUUACUGUAUAUAAAACACUCAGAAAAGUGAGUGGCACAUAAUGAAUGCUAUGUAGGUGUUAUAAUUAGUUUUAACUCUCUUUUCACAGAAGGGGAAACAGAAAUGCAGAGAAGACAAGCCAUGUUUCAAAAGAAAUCCAGCUAAGUUAGCCCUACUGAGACAUGGACUGGAAGUACAAGACUCUGCCUAGGAGAUCUGGAGGCAAAAGCCAAGUUUCCUUGUACACCGUCCCCCUCUCUGAAGCUCCCGCUGGACCUCCAGGGUGAUCAGGAACUUCUCGUUGGGCUAUCACACGGGCAAGCUGACCGGCCCUGUCCUUCCACUCAUGGCAGCCACAGUGAUCUGGUAAAAUGUAAGUCAGUUCCUAUCACUUGUCUGCUUGAAACUCUCCACUGGUUUUCCAUCACACUUAUAAGGAAACCCAGAUUCCAGACUCUGAGGUGCAAGGCCUUCAGGAUGUGCCCCCUGGCUUUCCGUUGACCUUAUCUCCUCCCCUUACUUUAGCCACAAGGGUCUCUUUGUGUCCUUGAAUUUGGCGCUUGAUUUCACUUGGGGUUCUUUUGCAUCUGCUGUUCCUUCUGCCUAGAUAUCUUUGCUUCAGAUCUUCACAUGUUACUCACUCCCUCAUUUCACUCAGGUCUCUGCUCCAAUGUCACAUUCUGCAAGAAAUCUUCUCUGAACACCAAAAAUGACCUCUUAUUUUUGCUUCCCGACCAACCAGAGCUGAUACUGCCCAUAGCUCUAGAGCAGACCUUUUAGGUGCUGGAUUUUUGGGAGGUCCUAGAGACUUGGGAGAGAGUCUAGUAUAGCCACGGUGGGAGGCUGGGGACAGGGGAAAGGGGAAUGGAGGAUGACUUGGGGUAGCAGAUAUUUACCACCUGGUAGAGGUGACCUCAGUAUUUUCAUCAGUAUGGCUACAUCAGCACACACAACUGUAUCACUAGGGCCUAGAGCUAUGCCAGACAAACAGCAGGCAGUCAAUAAAUAUUUGCUUAAUUAGUUAAGUAAAAGGGAAAAAUGGACAGAGAAAGCAACAUUUCAAGGUAAGGAAGUCCAAACAGGUAGUAUGAGGCACAAGGAAGAAAGGUAGAGAGGUG
rnacentral:lncRNA from 1 species